rnacentral:lncRNA from 1 species
ACUAUGCCUGCCCCACCCCUUCUCCCUCCCAAAGCCCUUUUAUCCUUUCAUCCACCCCUGACUUUUUAAGCAAGGACUUCUCUCCUUAAACUAAAGAGACAAAGAAGACCCCUGAGAGAUUUGAAAAUUCAAUGGAAAAAGCAAAGAAGAAAAAAAAAAAAAACACUAAGCACUUAACUUCUCUCCCAAAGGACAAGAGAGCCUGCCAAUUCCCCAGCAACGCCAGAGCUAAGCAUUUUCCCAGUGUCAACAUUAAACCCCUUUUUUGUGUUUCUCUCUUAAAGUGUGUUUACAAUUGACCAUUAUGUGAAAGAUGACGGAUGUUGCCUGGCCCCGUUUAAAAUAAUAAGACUAAUAAUGAUGCAGUUUCUUGCCCGCAGACUCAGUUUCCGAAUGCCUAUCUGCAGAAGGAAAGAGUUGAGGAGGCCAGAAUAUUCACCAGUAAGUGUAGCUGGCCACUGACCCAUCCCCCCAGUCCAGUGCCCAAACAUUUGAGUUCCUGUGGACUUCUCCAUCAGACAAGCACAGAUUUCUCAGGAUUAAUACCUCGGCCUCCAGGCACCUUUAAAAGUCCGUGUCUUGGGGCGCCUGGGUGGCGCAGUCGGUUGAGCGUCCGACUUCAGCCAGGUCACGAUCUCGCGGUCCUUGAGUUCGAGCCCCGCGUCAGGCUCUGGGCUGAUGGCUCAGAGCCUGGAGCCUGUUUCCGAUUCUGUGUCUCCCUCUCUCUCUGCCCCUCCCCCAUUCAUGCUCUGUCUCUCUCUGUCCCACAAAUAAAUAAACGUUGAAAAAAAAAAUUUUUAAAGUCCGUGUCUUGCUCCGGUCCUGUCAGCAGCUGUACAAAGUGUGGAUCCCAUUACCCAUUCCAUUUUAGAUUGGGAGAAAUGAGGCUCGAGAAGGAGGAGCCCUUCUUAUACCCCCAGCCCCAAGUUUUAAGGCGGGAUAAUGGGAGAACAAUCCUGUCACCUCACCAUUUCUGACCAAUUCUACCUCCUACCAGUUCUUAAUCUUCCAGAACAGAUCAGGUUGACCCGACUGGGUUUUCUCUACUGAAACGUAUUGCAUUUCUUUGAACUGAAUACUACCAUGUAUAGGUCACUCUUGCCAGGUAGUGGCUGAGGGCCCAGGCUUGCUGUGAAAACCUGUAGAUUGGGAUGAGAUGCUGCACAACUUCAGAUUUCCACCACCAUUCUUGCAUUGCUCCAGCGUGUGCAAAAGUUUGGAGUGAAUCGCCAACCCCCUCUCCCUGAGAUAGCUGUGCUUAAAGGAACAAGUCUGGAACUGAGGUCCUGCCCUCCCCCGCCCUUUCCUUCCCAUGGGGAUGCUGCCAGAGAAGUGCACGAUCCCUAGUAAAAAAGACGGAGAGAUGUGGCUCAACCAUGCAUUUCCGGGAGAAAGCAUACUCCAGGAUUGCUGGUGAAGGCCCUGUGCUUCCGCUGUGUUUGGACUACAGGGCUCCCCAGCCCAUGGUGGCAUCUGUGUUUGGGGACAGGGUCCCAGCUCCAGCUUUCCCCCAACCCUCAGCCUACCCUGGUAGGCUAGCAGCAGGAUCCAAAAGAUAGGUGGAAUGGAUUGAUUUCAUCCUUCCAAGGCAUUCAUGUUGGAUUGAAAAAGGAAACAAAUUCUCUGACCUGGGAAGAAACGUCAGGCCAGGCGGUGAAAUUGACCUUGGUGACACUGACCAGAGAUAAGCCUCUUGGUGUAAAACAGCCUGGCACACAAUUGAUCAAUUGUGGAGGAGCCCCAGCGACCUGCAACCUAGCACCAUGAAACUAACCAGCGUGCAAUUAACGAACAACCUGGAACCCUUAAAACAGAGGGUGCACAACAGAACACUGAUAACUGACCACUUGAAACUCUUAGCUGCCAGGCUAAGCAGAAUGAAAUUGCCCCGAAGCAAUGGGACUGCGUGGAAAGGAACCAGGAAAUCCACCUGCCCGCGAACAGGCAACUAACCACGCGAGGGACUGGAGCAGGGAGGG